rnacentral:lncRNA from 1 species
CCCGAUAGAGCUGUCGGUACACCGACAUAGUUCAGAAAUUGUUCUAGACUUAGAUAUUUUGACCGCAUUACUGUUUGUUUACGAUGUAAUGACUGCUGUGUAUGUGUAACAACGUGAGUAGGUUAUGUGCUGACUGUGAAAUGCAGUACUAUGUGUUAUAGUAUAUUUUUCUAAUCGAACGAAUGAUCUGAUUAAUGAUAGGUGAUUACAUAAAUGAUAAAACUAAGUUUCGUAUUGUAAGCAAGGCAUCAGGCAAGUAUCCUACCUU